CCUACGGGAGGCAGCAGUGAGGAAUAUUGGUCAAUGGGAGAGAUCCUGAACCAGCCAAGCCGCGUGAGGGAAGACGGCCCUAUGGGUUGUAAACCUCUUUUGUCGGAGAACAAAACCCGGGACGUGUCCCGGACUGCGUGUAUCCGAAGAAAAAGCAUCGGCUAACUCCGUGCCAGCAGCCGCGGUAAUACGGAGGAUGCGAGCGUUAUCCGGAUUUAUUGGGUUUAAAGGGUGCGUAGGCGGUCCGUUAAGUCAGCGGUAAAAUGUCGGGGCUCAACCCCGUCGAGCCGUUGAAACUGGCAGACUUGAGUGGGCGAGAAGUACGCGGAAUGCGCGGUGUAGCGGUGAAAUGCAUAGAUAUCGCGCAGAACUCCGAUUGCGAAGGCAGCGUACCGGAGCCAGACUGACGCUGAGGCACGAAAGCGUGGGGAUCGAACAGGAUUAGAUACCCGGGUAGUC
rnacentral:rRNA from 1 species